GCCGGUGUUAGGUCACUGAGGGAGACACACAUCUAUGACUCAUGUGACCUCAGCCCUCCAGGACCUACCUUCCAGUUUGCUGGGUGUCAUAGCAGAUGCAGUAGGCAGACUGCUCGGACCAGCUCCACAUCCAUCCUCCAUUCACAAGAAAGGCUUCUUGCUGACUCUUCAGCCAUGAAAAGCGUGAAAGCACGGUCAGGAUUACAGGGACAGCCGGAGCUCAGUGAGGGGCUAAGAUCAGAGUGGACUGGCGACGUUGGGACUAUUUUCUGGGAGGGGCUGGUCUGCAGGUCUGGGAGCCCAAAAUUGGUUUCUGUACAUAUGUAUAUCAAAGACAAGUGCGGGGUAGGUAAUGCCAAAAGUGAAAAAGGAUGGCCAGGUUUUUUUUAGUUUUCAUUUUGAAACUAAGUAUUUGGUUUUACAUAAAUCAAAGACGAGUUCCUUAAAAUAAACAACAGUCUAAUAAAGACUGAUAAUGGGCGAUUACCAGCUGAUUAAGGCAAGCGCCCUUCACUAAGUUUGCUCCAAGUGUGUCCCUCUGGGUGGUGGUGACCCUGCGCUGAGAGUAAUCGCAACCAGAGGUCUGAAGAGCACCUGCUCUGAGCGAUAUUGCAGUGCUUUGCAGAACCCGGGCAGCCCACCUGGGUAAUUCAGAAGCAGCGCAGAAUCCACUUGCAACACCAGGGUGAGAGGGCAAAGCUGAGCUGAGAGUUGAAAAUACAGCUCAAGUUUUAGAAAUCCAGAUUUUAAAAACUGGGAAGCCCUCUUUCUAAAGAAAAACAGAAGCUCGCAGUUUUGUUUCAUUAUCCACCGGUGCCUUGGAGCCAUGAACUUUCCCCCACUUCGGAAACGUCUCUGGAAAAUUCAUUUCAUGCUUGUCUACUCCAGUAAAAUCCUUGACUGAACUGUUACAAAACAGGAGACUUGGCCCCAGGAAUGUGAGAAAUCACCCGAUACGGUGGAGCCAGUUGGCAUCCUCAAGAGCCCUGGGCUUCUGACCUUGGGUUUACCUGUCAUCUUGGACCGUGACCUUCUCCCAGCAGAGGGGACUUUCUGAUUGUCCCUGUGCCACGGGACAGGGAAGUGGACAGAGCACAUGUAUCACAUUCUUUCACACCCUAGAAAAUAGCCCCUAGCCAAGGGAGGGCUCCCAGAUCCCAAAAUGCUGAGAUUAUAGGCAUGAGCCACUGUAUGUGGUGAUUAUUUUAGAUAUAUAUCCAGAAAUGGUAUUGCUAGAGCAUCUGGUAAUUCAAUGUUUAAUUUUUUGAGGAACCACACGCUAUUUUCCACACUGGCUGCAUGCACCAUUUUACAUUCCCACCAAGAGUGCAUGAGGGUUCUAUCUUCUCUACAUCCUCGCCAACACUUAUUUUCUAAUGUUUUUAAUAGUAGCCAUCCAAAUUAAGAUGGCCUAAUAGUAGCCGUCCUAAUUUUUAAAUAGCAGCAUUAGUACAUUUCUAAAUCGCAUCUCAGGUGCUUAGAACUGGAAAAGUUUGAAUCUUGAUUCAUGGCACAUGCAUCACCACUGCAUGGGUGCAUCUUUCAUGUAGUCCAAUUUUAAUAAUAUAACAAAUACCCGUGAACUUGCCACCUGCUUUAAGAGCCAGGACAUCAUAAUUAGUUCAUUAUCCAUGUGAUCCUCAACUAAUGCAUUCAUUUACCUACACCAGAGGUAAACGUGACCCUGAAUUUUUACAUCUUUGUUUUGAAAAUGCUUUUAUUAUAUCUAUAUGCAAAUGUAUGUAUAUCUAAAACAUAUAUUAUUUACUUCUGCCUGUUUAUGAACUUCAUAACAGAUAUGUGUUUCUCCAGACCUUGGCAUUCUCCCAAAGCUCCAGGUGAUUCUCCUGCACUGCCAGGGGCCAGCCACUAUUGCGGCACUUCCUACCUGGCCUCUGUGCCAGCUGCCUCCUUGGGUCACCUCUGUGAACCAUCAGACUGGUCUUCCUUUGGCUGACUUCAGGAAUUCUGCUUCAUUCAGGCCUGAGGCACAGGUUUUCUGGAAGUGGUUCACCAGCCUCUGGUCUCUGAUACAUUCACCCAGGGUAUCUGUUCUCAUCUUUUUCUGGGUCUUAAAUCAUUCAGUCAGGUCUAUGUGUCAGAAGUUUUCCAGUUCUACCAAGGCCAAGAACAAAUGGACAGACAAGAUGAAUGAGUUGAUAUGAAAUGUUCUCUACGCCAUUACAUUGGGGCCCAAAGGUUGAGUCUGCUGAAUAAAUUUAAAAGAUAGCAUGGGCAGGGUACAGUGACACACUGUCUUUAAAAAAGACAAAAACAAAAAAUAGUAUGAUAUUUGUAAGUAAAAAAUACUUUCAGUACUCACAGUGAAUUUUUUUUAUGGUUCAAAUGAAAAAUAUUGGCGCGGUGGCUCAUGCCUGUAAUCCCAGCACUUUGGGAGCCUGAGGCGGGUGGAUCACGAGGUCAGUUCGAGACCAGCCUGCCCAACAUGGUGAAACCCUGCCUCAACUAAUAAUACAAAAAUUAGCCGGGCGUGGUGGUGUGCGUCUGUAAUCCCAGCUACUCAGGAGGCUGAGGCAGGAGAAUCACUCAAACCUGGGAGGCAGAGGUUGCAGUGAGCCAAGAUCAUGCCACUGCACUCCAGCCUGGGCAACAUAGUGAGACUCCGUCUCAAGAAAAAAAAAAAAAAAAAGGAAAAAGAAAAAUAUUAUAACAGCUUAGAGUUAGAGCUUAGAGUUAGUCUCAGAAAAUUAAGAAGGUUCUCAUUUGAGAAGCAAAAGUUCACUAUUACUGGAGUGAAUUGAAAAUCAGAGAGUUAAUAAAACUGUCUUCUUGGAGACUUCAAUGUAUUAAAUAACAUUUAAACAUCAUUUGUAGGCCGUGUGCAGUGGCUUACACCUGUAAUCCUAGUACUUUGGGAAGCUGAGGCGGGUGAAUCACCUGAGGUCAGGAGUUCGAGACCAGCCUGGCCAACGUGGUGAAACCCCGUCUCUACUAAAAAUACAAAAAUUAGCCAGGUGUGGCAGUGGGUGCCUAUAAUCCCAGCUACUCAGAAGGCUGAGGCAGGAGAAUAGCUUGAACCUGGGUGGGCGGAGGUUGCAGUGAGCCAAGAUGAUACCACUUCACUCCAGCCUGGGCAAAACAGCAAAAUUCUACCUCAAAAAAUAAAAAUAAAAAAUAAACAUCAUUUGUAGGUUUUUUAAAUCCCCAAAUUCUUUCCUGUGUCACCCAAGCCACCUGCCGACCUGAUCCUUAAGGUUUUUAAGCAGUAAAGCCUUUCUCUGUUUCAUAAGUUGGGUGGCCCCAGUGCUCCCCAUUUCUCCCUCACACAUGUGCUCUUCGCAGAAACAUGCAGAUGUCCUACAUCCACACCCAUACGGUUGGCCUGUCCAUGGCCUGGGUCUAAAAGAAACCCCGGCUUUUAAGGUUGCUGUUUUCUUUUUCCUUUAAAUCAUUGUAUUAAUGUUGACUCCAAAGCCCAAACAAAUAUGAUGCCAGGGAGAGGCACAGCAGGGCCAUAUGAAGGGAUUAGAUUUCUUUAAAUUACAAAAACAGUAAGAGCAGGAGGACUUUAAAGUCAACAUUUAAUAUUGAGCCAUGCUCAUGUUUUUGCUCCUUGGCUUAAAAAAACAAUAUUGCCAGAGUUGACUACAAAGCUCCUUAGCAAUGUCUGACACAGCUGAGAGAGGUGUGCAAACACCAAGUAGCAUCUAAAGAAGGGUCCCCUGCCCUUUGUAUCUUGGCCAAGGCUGGAAGUUCUGAGACUCUUGAGAAUAAUGUUUAUGCUCUUCACUCAUAGGAAAAUAAAGAAUAGUGUAUUAAAUGAUAUUUUUAUUUAUUAGUUUUUUUAAAGGUUGUCUUAGUCCAUUUGCAUUGCUAUAAUGGAAUGCCUGGGGCUGGGUAAUUCAUAAAGAAAAGAGAUUUAUUUGGCUCAUGGUUCUGCAGGUUAUACAGGAAGCACGGUACCAGCAUCUGCUCAGCUUCUGGUGAAGUCCUCAUGAAGUUUCUACUCAUGGUGGAAGGUGAAGGGGGAGAAAAUAAGUCACAGGACAAGAGAGGAGGAGGCCAAAGAGAGGGGAAGGAGGCAGCAGACUUAACAACCAGAUCUUGCAGGAGCCAAGAGUAAGAACUCACUCCAUCUUGUCAGAAUGGCAUCAAACUGUCCCGAGGAAUCCACCUCAUGACCCAAACACCUCCCACCAGGCCCCACCUGCAACACUGGGGAUCACAUGUCAACAUGAGACUUGGAGGGGACAAACAUUCAAGCUACAUCAAAGAUUCACUAUUCUGAACAAAAAAAAAAAAUGAGGAUAAGUGAAUAGAUCUGCCACCAAAACCCUACCCGCAAAAUUGUCUCUGAACUAUUUAGUCCCAGAAGCAGCAACAUCAGCAUCACUCAGGAAGUUGUAAGAAAUGCAGAUUCUCAGGCCCCUGCCUGGACUUGCUGAAUCAGAAACUCUAGGGGUGGGGCCCAGAAACAGGUGCUUUAACAAGCCCUCCAGGUGGCUCUGAGGCAAGCCCGAGGCUGAGCACUGUUAGUCUCACGCAAUUCACUACGUGAAAGACUGGAAGUGUCUGCAUGUAAGCCAACCAUAAGGCACUGCUUCAUUGCUUACUGAUGAGAGAUGAACCAAUAGGAUCUCAGAGAACCUGACCCAUAUUAUUAGCAUUUUGUUUGUUUGUUGUUUUUGUUUAAUUGAGACAGAGUCUCGCUCUUGUUGCCCAGGCUGGAGUGCAAUGGCGCGAUCUUGGCUCACUGCAACCUCCGUCUCCCAGGUUCAAGCAAUUCUCCUGCUUCAGCCUCCCAGGUAGCUGGGAUCACAGGCAUGUGCCAGCAUGCGCAACUAAUUUUGUAUUUUCAGUAGAGACAGGGUUUCAUCAUGUUGGUCAGGCUGGUCUCGAACUCCUGACCUCAUGUGAUCCACCCAUCUUGGCCUCCCAAAGUGCUGGGAUUACAAGCAUGAGACACCGCGCUGGCCUAACAUUUUUGUUUUCAUGCCAGAGGAAAAAGAAUCAGGUGGAGAUGAAUACACUGUUUCAUUAUGUUGUUUUCAGCCAAGGCCCAUUGGUGUAAAAUAUAUAAAAUCAACUGGGUGUCAAAAAAAGGUAAAAAAACAAACCCACUUAGAUGAUCUUUUUUUUCUUUGCAAUAGGAAAUAUAACAUAUUUAAUUUUCUUUCUCUUUUUCAGUUAACUGUGAGAAACAUAAGACAAAGCCAGGAAAGAUAACUCAGUUUUCUAUCAUGGUUAAUUAAGAGAGGCAACAGGUUUUACAAGAGUGCUGAUUUUCUUGAAGGGCAAAGACUUUCAUUCUAUCUCUUUAGUAUUCAGCCCACUCCUUAGUUUGAAAUAGGUGUCCAAUAAACAUUCACUGAAAUUAUGGCAAAAGGUAAAUAAGAGCAAGGAAAGAAGUACAAAGACAAAACAUAGAAAAACAGCCCAGAGAGAAAUAUAAACAUGAGAUAAAGAAAAAAAAUGAUAGAAACAUAUACAGAGAGAAAGAAGACAACAAGGGGAAAAGAAAGGAAAAAAUGACAGAGGUUAAAAGCAAAGAGAUGACACCUUGAGAUGCAAAGGACUAAACCGAUUUAUAAAUUAUAGGGACAAGGCUCACGAACUUCCAGUUCAAUAAUCUAGCUAAGGAAUGCAACAUUUCCCCUUUGAAAAAUUAUUUCUGAAAACCCUUGUCCCAAAAUACUGGCCAAUGUCAAAGCCCAAGAAGUAGAUUUUUAGGGGCUUUCCCUACUGGGAGAAGCACCUUUUGUCAAAUGGAGAUACUGGAUCUACAAUGAGUUGCUGUCCCAGGGUGCUCAAACCAAGGAGGGUGAAUAGCUAUGAGAAAUGGGGCAGAUUCUUGUAUGAAGAGAAGAGGGGAAGGAGAUCUUGGUUCUUUUAAAAUAUUCCACUUUGCAGAGAAUAUUUCUCAGAGUUUCAGCUGCAGCUGUUUCACAGACAUGUAAGCAUGGGAAACAUGGCUCAGUGGACCAAAGUCUGUGAAUUCUCACCUUGAACCACAAUUCACUGCUAACUUCUCAACCAGUCACUAUCCUAUCUCAUGCUUAGUUUUGUCUCUAAAAUGGGAAUAGACUAAUAUUAUAAGGUGCAGAAUAACCAACAAAAUUGUUCCUGAGAACUUAAAGAUGCAAACAGUAAUUACCUUUUAAAAUUUGUGAAUAGUGUUUUAUAGCAGUAACCUAAUAGUUCAAGAGUGAUUGUGGGCAGGGUUGGCCUAAGGGAAAAAUAUGAUUUGAUGUAAAUGUUGACAGCAGACAUCCAGUCACUCCAAAGAAGGGAUAUGAUUGUUCAAGAAAAGAUAAUCAGGGCCGGGCGUGGUGGCUCAUGCCUGUAAUCCCAGCACUUUUGGGAGGCCGAGGCCGGCGGAUCACUGGGUCAAGAGAUCAACACCCUCCUGGCCAACAUGGUAAAACCCCGUGUCUACCAAAAAUACAAAAAAAAUUAGCUAGGCAUGGUGGCACACUCUUGUAGUCCCAGCUACUUGGGAGGCUGAGGCAGAAGAAUCACUUGAACCUGGGAGGCAGAGGUUGCAGUGAGCCGAGAUCAUGCCACUGCACUCCAGCCUGGCAACAGAGCAAGACUCCGUCUCAAAAAAAGAAAGAAAGGAAGAAAGAGAAAGAAAGAAAGAAAAGAUAUCAGAAAGCACAAACUACCAUAAUACGCAAAAAGAGCCAGGUCUUAAAAGUUAUAGGACUUCAUCUGUUUCCAGGUAAGGGAAGUUUUUCCAGUUAACACUUUCAUUCAGUAAAGCACCAACCCUCCAUGCAGCGUCACUGGAGGCUGGACAUGCAUUUUGCCAUCUGGAAAUCAACAACAGAGUCCAAUAAGGUUAAACAACCCACACUUCCAUUCCUACCUUUCACACUCAAUCAAAUGUCCUUAUCUCUCUGUAGGCUAGAACUUCAAAUAAUGUGGAUAACAAGGUAUUUCGUGCACAAAUGGAAAAUAGAAUCCAUCUUACAGACAGUUCCAUAGCUUCUUAAGCUUGUUUGAACUUGCCAUUCUUUUGAUAUUUAAUGGAAAUCAAUCCCUAAACAUCAUACAGAGGAAACAAAUUAAAGAGUUAAACUUUUUGCUCAAAGAAAAACAUUACAAAGAAAAGAGGGGUAAUAGUGAGAAACAACAUGGAAAUAUUUGUUGUCUAUACAUGUAUGGAGAUGUAAGUCUCCACAUAAAGAUAUAUGCUAUCCUUCAAUCUCUAUGAAGAAACUUCUUCUCUACCUUCCUUUUAAGAGUGGCAGAUCUGGGCUGGGCGCAGUGGCUCACGCCUGUAAUCCCAGCACUUUGGGAGGCCGAGGCGGGCAGAUCACGAGUUCAGGAGAUAGAGACCAUCCUGGCUAACACGGUGAAACCCCGUCUCUACCAAAAAUAUAAAAAUUAGCUGGGCAUGGUGGUGCGUGCCUGUAAUCCCAGCUACUCAGGAGGCUGAGGCAGAAGAAUUGCUUGAACCCGGGAGGUGGAGGUUGCAGUGAGCUGAGAUUGUGCCACUGCACUCCAGCCUGGGGGAACAGAGCCAGAACCCGUCUCAAAAAAAAAAAGUGGCAGAUCUGAAUUUCUGUGCAUCUCACAUUGGCCCUUUGGUGGCUUACUGUGUAUAUCUUCAAAGCAAAGAGUACUGGGGCAAUGGGAAGACAUUUUUCCUUGUGCAACACUAUCCUAACAAGUGUGGUUAUUAUUGAAUCAACUUAUCUAACUGGACAAAUAAUAUCUAAGCUUCCAUGUGAGUAUUAUUUUAUCAAAAAAAUGUACUUAUAGCAUUUUCUAUUGAUUAGAUUGUUACACUAUUUUUUAAAAAUAAAAAGAAAAGGCAAGACUUUGAUUAUGUGGCUGCUAAAACAUAACAAUGACCUUGGGUGAAGCCUGAGAGACAGCACUUCCCUUGCUGACUUAUGACAAAUAUUCAAAGGCAUGGAAUUCUAGGGCAAGGAAAAGACAACGUAGAUUUAGCCCAUUAACAAAGUCCCUAUCUUGUCAUUUAAAGCUCUUUCUCCACUUGAAGAAAAUACAAGGUUGAUUUUACUAGGACCUGUUGUUAGGUUUCCAACAUCACGUGUCUCUUGCAUUUGUGAACAGAUUCUGGCAGAACACAAGAGAGGAGGCAAUUAAAAUGUUAAGUUCCGUGUACACAAGAAAAAUAAAGUGGUAUAAGUGUUCAUAUUUAA
rnacentral:lncRNA from 10 species